GUGCUCACAUCAGCAACACAUAUACUAAAAUUGGAACAAUACACAAAUUAGCAUGGCUCCUGUGCAAGGAUAACAUGCAAAUUUGUGAAGCGUUCCACAUUUUU
rfam:Pteropus alecto contig165685, whole genome shotgun sequence.